CGCCCAUGAGGACCAUGGAGAACGGUUUUUACACUGUGACGAAAAGCACGGGGAAGCACACAUUUAAUUUUGAACCCAGUUUAUCCGUGCAGACACAGGACAGAAGAAAAUACAGCCUGCAUGCUCCUGUUCUGGCAAGCCCUGCUGCCUGUUAGGGCACGCCGCCCUGGACACCCCCUAAGAUGUGCUAGUGACGCCGCACUGAAUGCAAGAACGUUGCCGCCACAGAUAGCCAGACGCUUGGGCCCGUACCUAUUCAGCCUUCUGCCCUCCAGGGUGAGCCUUGAGUGGUGGUGCCUGACGCUUCUGGGGCAGCGACCCUUCACCAUCUACCAGUCCUAGCACCCUAUCAGGGCUCUGAGGCGGGAGCACCAAACACUCUGCCUGCAGACGAGGAGGAGGAAGGAAAGACUACCAGAGGCGAGUAUUUUGGUUCAAGGUCGCAGGCCUUGUGAAGGUCACAGACCUCAUGAAGGUUGCAGGCCUUGGGGAUGUCAGCGUUUUAUCUUUGCUGCCUUGGGAGAGUGAGCGGGAGGAGCCAAGGAAGGAGUGGAGCACCCAGAGCUGAUGUGCCCGGCAUUUGGUGAUUGCGACAUGAUGUCAUCUGCAGAGUUCAUGCUGGACAGGCAGCCAGGUUACAAUGACUGAGCACCCCCAAGCCCUGUAACAUUCCAGGUGAAUUGAUGGUUGUGUGUUGGGGGAAUUCACAGGUGUCACGGCCACACAGAUGGUGACUGGUUAUUGUCGUUGACCCUGUGUGAACCAGGGAAGUCUUGGGCUACCUGACCUAACUGAGUUAACGAGGGAGUAGUCCCACCUUAAGAAAAAAACAGAGCGAGACCUCAGGGUUUAGAAAUAUCAGGUUCAACACACACACACACACACACACACACACACACACACGGAACACAUCAGUUGUGCAAAUGCCCACAGAGCUUCUCCCAUCCUCUCGAAUGAUACAGAGGCUCUUCCUGUCCAACUCUGGCUAAAUAAAGGGUCCACAACUUGCUGCUCUUACAAUGGCCAGCGCACACCCCCAAAAAGUACAACCACAGGCUUCUCUGGCGUGUGAGACGCCGGCAUGAGCUGGGCAGUGACUGAAGAAGCAGCGGAUGAUGGGAGCAUGGCUGGAGGAGCAAAGGAGAGGUUAGCGCCACCCCCUUCCGACAGCUAUCCAGCUGCAAACCCUGACUUCCCAGUAGGUAACACCCAGGCCCGAGGGGACGACAGAGCUCACAUUAAAUCUAGACUUGGACAGAACCCAGGCUAAGAUGGAGGCACUCACAGGCCUGCGGGGACGUGUUGACACUGUACAAGGACAAGUCAGAGCCCACCACUCAGUUCCCAUCCUUGGCAAUGAAGAGCUCAGCCUGGGUGGGCCACCAGCAGCCGGUCCCCCAGAGGACCAGGAACCCCCAGACACUCUCCUGGGGCUCACUCCACACCCACUCCACCAGCUGACAUUUUCCAGCACCGAGGCGGAAAUCACUCUAAAUGGCUGA